AUUGAACGCUGGCGGCAGGCCUAACACAUGCAAGUCGAGCGGAUGAGAGGAGCUUGCUUCUCGAUUCAGCGGCGGACGGGUGAGUAAUGCCUAGGAAUCUGCCUGGUAGUGCGGGACAACGUUUCGAAAGGAACGCUAAUACCGCAUACGUCCUACGGGAGAAAGCAGGGGACCUUCGGGCCUUGCGCUCUCAGAUGAGCCUAGGUCGGAUUAGCUAGUUGGUGAGGUAAUGGCUCACCAAGGCGACGAUCCGUAACUGGUCUGAGAGGAUGAUCAGCCUCACUGAAACUGAGACACGGUGCAGACGCCUGCGGUCGGCAGCAGUGGGGAAUAUUAGACAAUGGGCGAAAGCCUGAUCCAGCCAUGCCGCGUGUGUGAAGAAGGUCUUCGGAUUGUAAAGCACUUUAAGUUGGGAGGAAGGGUUGUAGAUUAAUACUCUGCAAUUUUGACGUUACCGACAGAAUAAGCACCGGCUAACUCUGUGCCAGCCGCCGCAGUAAAAC
rnacentral:rRNA from 1 species